AUUGCUUCUCUGCUCCUUGGAGCUAAGAUCAAAGCGCAGUGUCAGUUCUCAUCAGUUUAAUAUCUGAUAAGUCCUUUGUUGAGAACUGUAUAUUAAAUUGAUUUUGGAAACAAGGAGAUGGAGAUAGGAGUUUGCUCUGUCCACCCCAUGCAUUGACCUGGUAUUGCAGUGUUUCUAGGACCAGUGCUUCUCCU